AUUACGGGGGGACUCCUACGGGAGGCAGCAGUAGGGAAUCUUCCACAAUGGACGCAAGUCUGAUGGAGCAACGCCGCGUGAGUGAAGAAGGUUUUCGGAUCGUAAAGCUCUGUUGUUGGUGAAGAAGGAUAGAGGUAGCAACUGGCCUUUAUUUGACGGUAAUCAACCAGAAAGUCACGGCUAACUACGUGCCAGCAGCCGCGGUAAAAUUCAUCGGUGGGU
rnacentral:rRNA from 1 species